GGGGAACUGAAACAUCUAAGUACCCCGAGGAAAAGAAAUCAACCGAGAUUCCCCCAGUAGCGGCGAGCGAACGGGGAGGAGCCCAGAGCCUGAAUCAGCAUGUGUGUUAGUGGAAGCGUCUGGAAAGGCGCGCGAUACAGGGUGACAGCCCCGUACACAAAAGCGCAUGUGCUGUGAGCUCGAUGAGUAGGGCGGGACACGUGGUAUCCUGUCUGAAUAUGGGGGGACCAUCCUCCAAGGCUAAAUACUCCUGACUGACCGAUAGUGAACCAGUACCGUGAGGGAAAGGCGAAAAGAACCCCGGCGAGGGGAGUGAAAAAGAACCUGAAACCGUGUACGUACAAGCAGUGGGAGCCCCACCACUAAGCCAGUGGUGAACUCCACAUACGCAUCCUUUGCUGAAGGCAAUGGUUAACGGAGCGAAAGCGACGUUCAACCGCAAAACAAGCAGAGGGGGCUUAGUGGUGGGGUGACUGCGUACCUUUUGUAUAAUGGGUCAGCGACUUAUAUUCUGUAGCAAGGUUAACCGUAUAGGGGAGCCGGAGGGAAACCGAGUCUUAAUUGGGCGUUAAGUUGCAGGGUAUAGACCCGAAACCCGGUGAUCUAGCCAUGGGCAGGUUGAAGGUUGGGUAACACUAACUGGAGGACCGAACCGACUAAUGUUGAAAAAUUAGCGGAUGACCUGUGGCU
rnacentral:rRNA from 2 species